rnacentral:rRNA from 1 species
UACGUAGGGAGCGAGCGUUGUCCGGAAUUACUGGGUGUAAAGGGAGCGUAGGCGGGGCAGCGAGUUGGAUGUUUAAACUAUCGGCUUAACCGGUAAUUGCAUCCAAAACUGCAGCUCUUGAGUGAAGUAGAGGCAGGCGGAAUUCCUAGUGUAGCGGUGAAAUGCGUAGAUAUUAGGAGGAACACCAGUGGCGAAGGCGGCCUGCUGGGCUUUUACUGACGCUGAGGCUCGAAAGCGUGGGGAGCAAACAGGAUUAGAUACCCUGGUAGUCCACGCUGUAAACGAUGAUUACUAGGUGUGGGGGGGCUGACCCCUUCCGUGCCGCAGUUAACACAAUAAGUAAUCCACCUGGGGAGUACGACCGCAAGGUUGAA